rnacentral:rRNA from 1 species
GACGAACGCUGGCGGCGUGCCUAAUACAUGCAAGUAGAACGCUGAAGGAGGAGCUUGCUUCUCUGGAUGAGUUGCGAACGGGUGAGUAACGCGUAGGUAACCUGCCUGGUAGCGGGGGAUAACUAUUGGAAACGAUAGCUAAUACCGCAUAAUAGCAGUUAUUGCAUGAUAACUGUUUGAAAGGUGCAAUUGCACCACUACCAGAUGGACCUGCGUUGUAUUAGCUAGUUGGUGGGGUAACGGCUCACCAAGGCGACGAUACAUAGCCGACCUGAGAGGGUGAUCGGCCACACUGGGACUGAGACACGGCCCAGACUCCCACGGGAGGCAGCAGUAGGGAAUCUUCGGCAAUGGACGGAAGUCUGACCGAGCAACGCCGCGUGAGUGAAGAAGGUUUUCGGAUCGUAAAGCUCUGUUGUAAGAGAAGAACGAGUGUGAGAGUGGAAAGUUCACACUGUGACGGUAUCUUACCAGAAAGGGACGGCUAACUACGUG